CCUACGGGUGGCAGCAGUCGAGAAUCAUUCACAAUGGGGGAAACCCUGAUGGUGCGACGCCGCGUGGGGGAAUGAAGGUCUUCGGAUUGUAAACCCCUGUCAUGUGGGAGCAAAUUAAAAAGAUAGUACCACAAGAGGAAGAGACGGCUAACUCUGUGCCAGCAGCCGCGGUAAUACAGAGGUCUCAAGCGUUGUUCGGAAUCACUGGGCGUAAAGCGUGCGUAGGCUGUUUCGUAAGUCGUGGGUGAAAGGCGCGGGCUCAACCCGCGGACGGCAGAUGAAACUGCGAGACUAGAGUGAUGGAGGGGGAACCGGAAUUCUCGGUGUAGCAAUGAAAUGCGUAGAUAUCGAGAGGAACACUCGUGGCGAAGGCGGGUUCCUGGACAUUAACUGACGCUGAGGCACGAAGGCCAGGGGAGCGAAAGGGAUUAGAUACCCGUGUAGUC
rnacentral:rRNA from 1 species